UCAGGAUGAACGCUGGCGGUAUGCUUAACACAUGCAAGUCGAACGGAAUCUUUAGGGAUUUAGUGGCGGACGGGUGAGUAACGCGUAAGAAUCUACCUUCAGGUUGGGGACAACCACUGGAAACGGUGGCUAAUACCGAAUGUGCCGAGAGGUGAAAGGCUUGCUGCCUGAAGAAGAGCUUGCGUCUGAUUAGCUAGUAGGUGUGGUAAAGGCGCACCUAGGCGACGAUCAGUAGCUGGUCUGAGAGGAUGAUCAGCCACACUGGGACUGAGACACGGCCCAGACUCCUACGGGAGGCAGCAGUGGGGAAUUUUCCGCAAUGGGCGAAAGCCUGACGGAGCAAUACCGCGUGAGGGAAGAAGGCUCUUGGGUUGUAAACCUCUUUUCUCAGGGAAGAAAAGAAUGACGGUACCUGAGGAAUAAGCAUCGGCUAACUCCGUGCCAGCAGCCGCGGUAAUACGGAGGAUGCAAGCGUUAUCCGGAAUGAUUGGGCGUAAAGGGUCCGCAGGUGGCAUUGUAUGUCUGCUGUUAAAGAGUCUGGCUCAACCAGAUCAAAGCAGUGGAAACUACAAAGCUAGAGUAUGGUCGGGGCAGAGGGAAUUCCUGGUGUAGCGGUGAAAUGCGUAGAUAUCAGGAAGAACACCGGUGGCGAAGGCGCUCUGCUAGGCCAAAACUGACACUGAGGGACGAAAGCUAGGGGAGCGAAUGGGAUUAGAUACCCCAGUAGUCCUAGCCGUAAACGAUGGAUACUAGGCGUAGCUCGUAUCGACCCGAGCUGUGCCGUAGCUAACGCGUUAAGUAUCCCGCCUGGGGAGUACGCAGGCAACUGUGAAACUCAAAGGAAUUGACGGGGGCCCGCGCAAGCGGUGGAGUAUGUGGUUUAAUUCGAUGCAACGCGAAGAACCUUACCAAGACUUGACAUGUCACGAAUUCCGUUGAAAGAUGGAAGUGCCUUAGGGAGCGUGAACACAGGUGGUGCAUGGCUGUCGUCAGCUCGUGUCGUGAGAUGUUGGGUUAAGUCCCGCAACGAGCGCAACCCUCGUUUUUAGUUGCCAGCAUUAAGUUGGGCACUCUAGAGAGACUGCCGGUGACAAACCGGAGGAAGGUGGGGAUGACGUCAAGUCAGCAUGCCCCUUACGUCUUGGGCUACACACGUACUACAAUGCUCCGGACAAAGGGCAGCUACACAGCGAUGUGAUGCGAAUCUCAUAAACCGGAGCUCAGUUCAGAUCGAAGGCUGCAACUCGCCUUCGUGAAGGAGGAAUCGCUAGUAAUUGCAGGUCAGCAUACUGCAGUGAAUUCGUUCCCGGGCCUUGUACACACCGCCCGUCACACCAUGGAAGUUGGUCACGCCCGAAGUCGUUACCCCAACCUUUUGGAGGGGGAUGCCUAAGGUAGGACUGAUGACUGGGGUGAAGUCGUAACAAGGUA
rnacentral:rRNA from 1 species